GAAAGAAGAUAAAUAUUUUCUUAACAAAGUCCACACUCUCAUAAUGAUAUGGGCUCCAGGCUCCAGAAGGAGAUGAGAAGAUGAACAGAAGAGCAGAAGAAUGGCAGAAUGGCAUGGCAGAGAGAAGAAAAGGAGCAUCUGAAUGCCAAGAGGAGUUUGACUGGGUGUGGCCAGAGAGGAGUUCAGCUGCUGGAUGAUCAAACUCCAGGGGAAGAUCAUCUUCCCACUUCCUCCCUGUGCUAGUCCCCCAUCGAUCCCACUGAGAGCCACCUCUUCCACCCAAGAAAACC
rnacentral:lncRNA from 10 species